ensembl:lncRNA
GCUUUUUCCAUUUGAGGCAGAUUACUGUAACGCUAUUGUACAACAACUUCCUGCCUCUUUUGGCUCUGGUUCUAAAAAACUGCAAAAGGCAGACCUCGUGGCUUUAACUUUUUUCCCCCCUCGGCCUUGAACCAGGAGCUCUAUAAGGGAAGAAAAGGAGGAAGGAGAUAUGUAAAGUGUAUUUAUUACUGAGGAGCUUUUUUUUUUUUCUCUCUUUUUUAAAAAUAAAUUUCAUUUCUGCUUUAUAAACUGCUGAGAAUUAAAGAGGGGACUUCAUUCCUAGCAAGAGACAAUGAGAAAGAGAGAAAGAGGGAGACAGAGAGGAAAAACACAAGGAUUCUGAAAGGAGAGGAGGAAGAGAGAAACAGAGAGAAAAGAGCAAAGGAGAGCUUCUCCUGGGAACAAGCUGGAAAUUAUGGACCUAUUCGAUAUCAGACCUCAGAGUGGACAACCUAUCCUAAGAGGGACGCGCCCUAACUGUAACUAACAACUACUUCUGGCAGCCCUUCAACAACCAGACAUAUUGUCCUGGAUCAGGGCCGUUUUCGAAAAGGCAGCAAUGAGCAAGGGCAGCCUAGGCAAGAAAUCAACAUCGACCUUCAGCCUCAUUAAUAUCAAUUAAUACUUUUUUUCUCUAAUAAAAAUACAGAAUUUUAAACUAUGAUCCCAAUGAGACGUUAAUUAUCAAAUGUAGCAUGUUAAGGUGAUACAUGCUAUAAAAAAGAAGGAUUUCCACACUAAAGUGGGGCAGCAUUAAGGGGUCAACACAGCACUUUAAAAAAAAUUUUUUUUUUUAAAUAUAUAAUGCGUGAGUUAAUUAUUUCACCUACUGUUUUAGUACUGAUAUAUUAAAAGCUCAAAAUCCAACACAAAUGCAAUGUUGCGUUACUUUGUACUGUGUAGGUCUGAAGAUCUGCAUUUAAAGUGUGAAUGCAACAAAACUGCCUUAUGGUGGAAACGAGCACAAGCAGGGUUUGAAUGAGUGUAACAAUGUAAUAAAUAUUCAAUUAAAAAAUAUUUUUGACUGAGUAUAA